rnacentral:lncRNA from 1 species
UGCUAAUCCUAUUAAACAUUAUUAUUAAAGUGACAAUUUGCUCCUCUAAUAAAUACUAAUUUGAUUCUGAUGUUAAUAACUUUAACUACUUUAUAAAUUUUUGCUAUUUUUNUUAUUAUAUCACGCAUUACUAUAUUAUAAAAUUGUGACUUAUAAAUACUUAAUUUGAAAAUUUAUUUUCUCUUAUGGUGUGACAGGAUAUAAUUCAUCACUACAAAAAAAUAAAUAAUAAUUUAUACUAAUAGUCAUUCAAGACAUGAAUUACAUACUAGAUAGUAAUUGCUAGUUUCUAAACCAUUUUCAUUGUUUGUUUUAAAGUAUAACCUUUUUCUAUUUCUAAAAAAACAUUAUAUAUACCAGAUAAUUAUAUAUGUGUUUUUCUUAUACAUAUGUUUCAGAAUUUAUUUCUUUGAAAUGACAUGCUUAGAAAAUAAUUAACAAAGAUAAUAACAACUUUGGCUUGAAUUUAUUUCUUUGAAAUGACAUGCUUAGAAAAUAAUUAACAAAGAUAAUAACAACUUUGGCUNUAAUUAACAAAGAUAAUAACAACUUUGGCUUGAAUUUAUUUCUUUGAAAUGACAUGCUUAGAAAAUAAUUAACAAAGAUAAUAACAACUUUGGCUACUUACAUCAUUCUUUUAGUUCAGGGACUGUUUAGGAUGUGACAAUUCUGUUAUUAAUGAAUGACGAAAAAACCUUAUAUUUUACUGCAUUAUUAAGGUCCAAUAGAACAUAUAAAGAUAGNAAAACAAAAAAACAAAAAUAAAAAAGAGGUUAGACAAGAGAUGAGGAACAUGGAAAGAUCGUUAUAGGGUAUAAUUGGGCAUGAUCUUCAUGUGAUAUUGAUAUUUGNAGCAAGAACUAUUUCUUAUUUCUUUCCUUCAUCUAAUCUAUAAAUUAUAUUAUUGGUAUCACCGCAAGAAUUUUUUUUAUAUUUUGUAGUGCUUCCCUAGCUUGCAUUGUGUUCAAUAUUGAUUAAAUUGACCCUUGAAGUUGGCCUUGUGUUGCUGUUACAAUAACCCUGAACCUNUUGAGCAUAAUUAGAAGUAUUGGAUGUUGUCAUGUGGGUAUAUAUGAGGGGUUAGUUUGCUUAUGUUUGUGUUAUUUUUCUUCANUAUUUGAAUGUGAAUAGGAAUUUAUGUUUUAUAUUGUGGGUUGGUUGUCGUGGUUGACAAUUAAAUGUGAAGUAGGUGGUAUUUUGGUAUGAAUAUCUUAGUUGUAAUUAAAUUGAUACUGUUUUAUGAUCUCUUAUCAUUGUGCUAACACAGGGAAGAGAAAAUAGCAAAGAAAANGAGUUUUCAUGAGAGUUUUAGUGUGCAUCCGAGAGGCUGACAAUGCAAGGCAAAUGUGAGGCUUAAAGAAACAAGGAAGGGAUUAGGAAACUUAAGAGAAUCAUAGAACUUUGGCACUUUGUAUAAAUAUAUAUUACAUUUUUAACUAUACACUUUUAUUAUGUUAGUUAUUUGAAGUCAUUUUUGUAUAUAUAUAGAUUGUGUAUUUAUUAUUGUUGUUUUAAUAAAAACUCAUAGAUAUUUGGUACUAUUUUUUUGCAAUUUCA